GGCCAGACUCCUACGGGAGGCAGCAGUGGGGAAUAUUGCACAAUGGGGGAAACCCUGAUGCAGCGACGCCGCGUGAGUGAAGAAGUAUUUCGGUAUGUAAAGCUCUAUCAGCAGGGAAGAAAAUGACGGUACCUGACUAAGAAGCCCCGGCUAACUACGUGCCAGCAGCCGCGGUAAUACGUAGGGGGCAAGCGUUAUCCGGAUUUACUGGGUGUAAAGGGAGCGUAGACGGCAUGGCAAGUCAGAUGUGAAAGCCCGGGGCUCAACCCCGGGACUGCAUUUGAAACUGUCAGGCUGGAGUGCAGGAGAGGUAAGUGGAAUUCCUAGUGUAGCGGUGAAAUGCGUAGAUAUUAGGAGGAACACCAGUGGCGAAGGCGGCUUACUGGACUGUAGCUGACGUUGAGGCUCGAAAGCGUGGGGAGCAAACAGGAUUAGAUACCCGAGUAUU
rnacentral:rRNA from 1 species